CCUUCGAUAGCUCAGCUGGUAGAGCGGAGGACUGUAGAGGAGAUACAGAAAUCCUUAGGUCACUGGUUCGAUUCCGGUUCGAAGGA
rnacentral:tRNA from 1 species